CAGCCGUAAACUAUGCGCGUUAGGUGUACUGGUGACCACGAGUCACCGGGUGCCGAAGGGAAACCGUGAAACGUGCCGCCUGGGAAGUACGGUCGCAAGGCUGAAACUUAAAGGAAUUGGCGGGGGAGCACCGCAACGGGAGGAGCGUGCGGUUUAAUUGGAUUCAACACCGUAAACUACGCCAGGGAAGACUGUUACAUGAAGGCCGAGAUGAAGACUCUGCUAGAUUUUCAGAGAGGAGGUGCAUGGCGUC
rnacentral:rRNA from 1 species